AGGACGAACGCUGGCGGUAUGCUUAAGACAUGCAAGUCGAACGAGCGAUGCUUGUAGCAAUACAGAGCAAAGCGAGUGGCGGACGGGUGAGUAACGCGUGAGCAACCUGCCUCUUUCAUCGGGAUACCAAUUGGAAACGAUUGCUAAUACCGAAUAUGACCACAGCACGGCAUCGUGCAGGGGUGAAAGGGUUUACUGGAAAGAGAUGGGCUCGCGUCUGAUUAGCUUGUUGGUGGGUAACGGCCUACCAAGGCGAUGAUCAGUAGCCGACCUGAGAGGGUGAUCGGCCACAUUGGGACUGAGAACGGCCCAGACUCCUACGGGAGGCAGCAGUCGGGAAUAUUGGGCAAUGGAGGAAACUCUGACCCAGCAAUACCGCGUGAAGGAUGAAGGUCUUCGGAUUGUAAACUUCUGUUAUAAAGGAAGAAUAAAAUGACGGUACUUUAUAAGUAAGCCCCGGCAAACUAUGUGCCAGCCGCAGC
rnacentral:rRNA from 1 species